CAGGAUGAACGCUAGCUACAGGCUUAACACAUGCAAGUCGAGGGGCAGCAGGAUGAUAGCUUGCUAUUGUUGCUGGCGACCGGCGCACGGGUGAGUAACGCGUAUCCAACCUUCCCCUUAGUAGGGCAUAGCCCGUAGAAAUGCGGAUUAAUACCCUAUGUUGUUCGAUGCGGACAUCUAAGUUGAACCAAAGGUUUACCGCUAAGGGAUGGGGAUGCGUCUGAUUAGGCAGCAGGCGGGGUAACGGCCCACCUGGCCUACGAUCAGUAGGGGUUCUGAGAGGAAGGUCCCCCACAUUGGAACUGAGACACGGUCCAAACUCCUACGGGAGGCAGCAGUGAGGAAUAUUGGUCAAUGGGCGCGAGCCUGAACCAGCCAAGUAGCGUGCAGGACGACGGCCCUAUGGGUUGUAAACUGCUUUUAUGCGGGGAUAAAGUGCGGCACGUGUGCCGUUUUGUAGGUACCGCAUGAAUAAGGACCGGCUAAUUCCGUGCCAGCCGCCGC
rnacentral:rRNA from 1 species